ACGAACGCUGGCGGCGUGCUUAAAACAUGCAAGUCGAACGAGGUCCAUCCACUCCUUCGGGAGUGGUGAAGACCUAGUGGCGAACGGGUGCGUAACACGUGAGGAACCUGCCCCAGAGACCGGGAUAACCCUCCGAAAGGAGAGCUAAUACCGGAUGUGCUCAUCGAGUCGCAUGGCUUGAUGAGGAAAUGGAUUCCGCUCUGGGAUGGCCUCGCGGCCUAUCAGCUUGUUGGUGGGGUAACGGCCCACCAAGGUGACGACGGGUAGCUGGUCUGAGAGGACGAUCAGCCACACUGGGACUGAGACACGGCCCAGACUCCUACGGGAGGCAGCAGUUAGGAAUCUUGCGCAAUGGGCGAAAGCCUGACGCAGCAACGCCGCUUGGGGGAUGAAGGCUCUCGGGUUGUAAACCCCUUUCAGCAGGGACGAUUGUGACGGUACCUGCAGAAGAAGGACCGGCCAACUACGU
rnacentral:rRNA from 1 species